AAAAAAAAAAGAGAGACUGGGAGUGAAACAGGCAGCCAGCCCAGUAUGUGAAACCAUUUCCAAUAUAAAAGACUGAAAGUCAUUUUGAUGAUGCCGGUUUUGAGGGUGUGUUUAUUCCAGCUCACAUAAAUCCAGACAUUAUGGCACGAGGUAAAAACAGGUUUUGGAGUCAGAUACACCUGGAUUUGAAUUUUGACUCUGCCACUUAUUAGCUUAAACAAAUUGCUUGGCUUCUCUGAGCCUCAGUGUCUUUUCUUCCCCUCAACCCCAGAACCUCAAUGUCUUUAUUCGUAAAAUCAGUAUGGCUGUUACCUUAGGUACCUUUGACUCAACAAAAUCAGCUACUUGUGCUCUCUCUUUCUUUAAUUGAAACAGCGUAAAAUGAUAUUUUGCAUAUAUAGUCCUGAAUGUACUGUACAUUGCCUUAUACAUUAUAGAACGUGUAUAUACCCAGGGUGCAGAGGAUACAUUCCACACCAAAUAUAUCAAAAUUUAUGGGUAAAUAUUUUUAAAGGAUUUUCGAGAAGAAUUUUAACAAUAUUCAAUUUUUGUCUUUGCACUCUGAUUUGGGGCUAUAAUGUCCUUCCACCAUAAUAACCAUUCGUGAUUGUUGGGAGAUUAGAGCCCGUGGGCACUCCACCAGUGGGAAGGAUUUCUAUUAGGCACAGUCUAACAAAAGUACGAAGCUGAAAAAAAAUUAAAACAAAAACUCUUGCCUCUAGGAAGGAAAAAAGGAGACGGAAGAAGAAAGAAGAAGAGGCAGAAGAAGAGAAAGAGCUGCCCUGAGCGAACGUGAUUGGCUAGUACCGUGCGGGGCUGUCCUGACGGUCCUUCUCAGCCCCUCAGCCCUGGAAGAUGCAUCGUGCAACUCGCUGCACAGAUGAGGAAGCAGGUUCCACGUCAUGACAGAACCUGUCCAGGUUCACAGAGCCAAUAAGCGGCUAACAGGGAUUUGAGCUCCCGCCUGUCUGAUCCCCGAGCUUGUGUGCUCUGUUGGGUACUUGGAAGUCUUCUUCCUUAGAAGACAUUUUUCACGGAUUGGAUGGUAGAGAGGUAUCUGCUUGUAUCCAUCAGGGUCUGGGCAGGAAACAGCAAACACACUCACCCCAGGCCCUGAUGGUAAGUGAAAGUCAAGGCUGUGGGCAAGGUCUAGAAGACUUGGCUACACGAGGCGUGCGUUUCUUCCUGGCACAGCUGCCUGCUAUGCAACUUGCCCAUGGCUGUCUGCCGCCUCUCUCCAUAGACAGCCAGGUUUGUGGUCCUGGCUGGUCUGCCUCUUCGUUCCACGGCAAAAUGCAACAGACAGCAUGAUACGGGACGUAAGGCGACGCUCCCAGGUACGUGGUGAUAGUGAUGGUUUAGACACGAGAAACCAGCUCUUCACUCACAGGAAAAUCGCCUCCCUCUUGUCAUUGGGGAAGAUCGAAUUCAAAGACAUCUACGGGGAAUCAAAACACAACUGCGGUUCUCCAUGACUUCCAGUGCCUCAGCCCCGGGCACAACAUCAUCAUUGAAUGGAAGUUCAAUCAGCUCUUCCCGAGGCUCAUUUGGGAUCCUUGGAGAUGAGGGAAGAUGCCAAAUUCACACCAAUUUAAGAGAGCUCAUUCUCCACCUCUCCCCUAGGAAACGAAGCAGAGAGAGAAUGAGAGAGGACAGGAGGCUGAAGGAGCAGAAAACCAUCAGAGAGCAAAUCUAUACGCUGUGCUAAAUGCCACUGGGAGAGAGGUUUUCCCAUUCUUUUCUGCUUAUCUCGGUGGAAUCUGUUUCUCAUAAUAAAAAUAUAGUCAAGAAUGACUGGUGGGGGCUUCCCUGGUGGCGCAGUGGUUAAGAAUCCGCCUGCCAAUGCAGGGGACACGGGUUCAAGCCCUGGUCCAGGAAGAUCCCAUAUGCCACGGAGCAACUAAGCCCGUGUGCCACAACUACUGAGCCUGUGCUCUAGAGCCCAUGCUCCGCAACAAGAGAAGCUACCACAAUGAGAAGCCCGUGCACCACAACGAAGAGUAUCCCCCGCUCGCCGCAACUAGAGAAAGUCCGCAU